rnacentral:rRNA from 1 species
AACGAACGCUGGCGGCAUGCCUAACACAUGCAAGUCGAACGAGACCUUCGGGUCUAGUUGCGCACGGGUGCGUAACGCGUGGGAACCUGCCCUUAGGUUCGGAAUAACUCCCCGCAAGGGGUGCUAAUACCGGAUAAUGUCUUCGGACCAAUGAUUUAUCGCCUUUGGAUGGGCCCGCGUUGGAUUAGCUAGUUGGUAGGGUAAAAGCCUACCAAGGCGACGAUCCAUAGCUGGUCUGAGAGGAUGAUCAGCCACACUGGGACUGAGACACGGCCCAGACUCCUACGGGAGGCAGCAGGGGGGAAUAUUGGACAAUGGGCGAGAGCCUGAUCCAGCAAUGCCGCGUGAGUGAGGAAGGCCUUAGGGUUGUAAAGCUCUUUUACCCGGGAUGAUAAUGACAGUACCGGGAGAAUAAGCUCCGGCUAACUCCGUG